CAGAAGCAGAGUGAGAGAAACCAUUGUUCUUGUGGCGGUUGUCUUUUAAAAAUUGGCCAUUUGAGGCCCUUUCAACUGACUUCCCAUUGUACAUAGAGGAAACCCAAGGACCAGAAAAGUAGGGUACCGUCCCCCCGUGUUAAGUGGCAAGCUGUGCCUCCGAGCGCAGACUAAGAGCCCUUUCCCAGACACUGGGCGCUGUGCCCAGGGGCUCGUCUCCGGCCACGCUGUGGCUGUGAGCUACCAGCACUCAGCUCUGCUCUUAGCACAGCUCUGGGCUCAGCUAAUGCUUGUCCUGCAAGGACCACAGAGGCACAUCUUCUGCCCUCAUGGUGUACAGAGGAGGAAACUGAGGCCCGGAGAGGAGGACUGGCUGGCUGCUCUGGGUCACACAGUGAGUGGGGACGGGGGCCAGUGCUGUGCUCCCUCCCCUCCCGCCUUUCUGUCCAGUCAGUGUGCUUGCUGAGCACCUCCGCGGGGGAGCUGGGGCCCUGUGCGAGUGCUGUGGGUGCCAGGAAGAGGGGCGGGAGAGACUGGCUCUGGGGGCCAGGCCUGAGGCAUAGGACAGACAACAGGAUGUGUCUCAGCCCCACCCCGCAGCCCAGGAGUCAGUGUCUCCAUUCACAUUAGGAGGGGAGGCUGGAGAGGGGGAAGGCCAGGCUUGUUCUUCUACAGUUGGGGAAACUGAGGCAGAGAGCUUCAGAGCAAAAUAGUGAUUCAUUUGGGUUCAGGAGAGUCCCUACCAAUGCUUUCUGCUCUCAGCCCCCUAACUUCCAAAUCUCUGGCCCAGGUACCCCAAGCCUCUGAGGGCAUCCCCAGACCGGAGGGACCAGGACUCGGGGGGUGAAGCCCACUGUGCCUCUCACUUGCAGGAUGACUUUGGAACGAGUCACAGCCCUUCCCUGGUCCUCACCUGCACAGGGUGUCAAUGGUGAUCUCUGGCCUCACGCAUCCCCUGAGGGCUGACAUCCCCUGAGGACUUUACCACAAGUGUAAGGAAAUAAAGAGAAGCAGAAACAGAGAGAGAGCGAGCAAGGAAGAAAGAAAAGAAGGAAGAAAGGAAGAAAGAAAGAAGGAAAGAAAAAAAGAAAGAAAAAGAUAAAAAGACAAAGAAAGAAUCAUAGUGCGCCUUUUUUCCCUUGCGGCUGUGGACACCUCGUGGACGGGUCUACUGUGUUUGGGUGGGGACAUGGAGGCCCAAGGCCCCACAGCAGGUGAUGGAAGUGCCAAGCCCAGUGACCAGCCUGGGGUCCAUUCUGUGCCAGCUCACCUGCAGGGAGCAUUGCUGCUGAGGUCACAGUUCCUGGAGCCAGACUGCUCCUGGCACCGCCAUGCACACUCACGGUCAGAUGUGUGACAAUGGGAGUCGGACUUCAGAGCGGUUAUAGCUUCUUCCAGUGCCAAAGCGGAGGCUUCCUGGACGCAGCCCGGGACGGAGCGGCCUGGCAGAUGGGGACGUGGCGGGCGUUAUGGGCUGAAUUGUGUCCCCCUCCCCAGAAAUUCACAUGUUGAGGUCCUAACCCCAGUGUCAGAAUGUGGCUGUAUCUGGAGACAGGGUCUUUAACGAGGUAAUUGAGUUAAAAUGAGUUCAUUUAACCCAAUGUGACUGGUGUCCUUACGAGAAGAGGGGAUCAGGACACAGACACACACAGAAGGAAAAGCACGUGAAGAUAUGGGGACAAGGUGGCCACCGACAGGCCAAGGAGAGAGGCCGCAGGAGAAACCGGCCCUGCGGACACCUUGAUCUUGGACUUUGAGCCUCUAGAAUUGUGAGAAAAUAAAUUUUGUUGUUUG
ensembl:lncRNA